rnacentral:lncRNA from 1 species
GUCCAAGUGCUUCGGCAAUGAUGCGAAAUGUGUCCCACUCGUUCGCAUCGAAAGCAAAUGGGCCUGUCGUCAGGCGUCCUCCACGCAUUUGGGUCACGGUUACUCGGAGCAGGGCGGCGGUAAUGCUGUGAAUGG